rnacentral:rRNA from 1 species
GCAGUCUGAGCAGAUUAGCUAAAUCAGUUAAAACUUUCAACAACGGAUCUCUUGGUUCCGGCAUCGAUGAAGAACGCAGCGAAAUGCGAUAAGUAAUGUGAAUUGCAGAAUUCAGUGAAUCAUCGAGUCUUUGAACGCACAUUGCGCCCCCUGGUAUUCCGGGGGGCAUGCCUGUCCGAGCGUCAUUGCUGCCCUCAAGCACGGCUUGUGUGUUGGGCUUCGCCCCCCGGCUCCCGGGGGGCGGGCCCGAAAGGCAGCGGCGGCACCGCGUCCGGUCCUCGAGCGUAUGGGGCUUCGUCACCCGCUCUGUAGGCCCGGCCGGCGCCCGCCGGCGACCCCAAUCAAUCUUUUCAGGUUGACCUCGGAUCAGGUAGGGAUACUCGCUGAACUUAAGCAUAUCAAUAAGCGGAGGA